rnacentral:rRNA from 1 species
AUGCACGCUGGCGGCGUGCCUAAUACAUGCAAGUCGAGCGAACAGAUGAGGAGCUUGCUCCUCUGACGUUAGCGGCGGACGGGUGAGUAACACGUGGAUAACCUACCUAUAAGACUGGGAUAACUUCGGGAAACCGGAGCUAAUACCGGAUAAUAUAUUGAACCGCAUGGUUCAAUAGUGAAAGACGGUUUUGCUGUCACUUAUAGAUGGAUCCGCGCCGCAUUAGCUAGUUGGUAAGGUAACGGCUUACCAAGGCAACGAUGCGUAGCCGACCUGAGAGGGUGAUCGGCCACACUAGAACUGAGACACGGUCCAGACUCCUACGGGAGGCAGCAGUAGGCAAUCUGCCGCAAUGGGCGAAAGCCUGACGGAGCAACGCCGCGUGAGUGAUGAAGGUCUUCGGAUCGUAAAACUCUGUUAUUAGGGAAGAACAAAUGUGUAAGUAACUAUGCACGUCUUGACGGUACCUAAUCAGAAAGCCACGGCUAACUACGUG